rnacentral:rRNA from 1 species
AACGUAGGAGACAAACGUUAUCCGGAGUUACUGGGCGUAAAGGGCGUGUAGGUGGUUACGUAAGUCUGGCGUGAAAUUUUUCGGCUUAACCGGGAAAGGUCGUCGGAUACUGCGGGACUAGAGGACGGUAGAGGCGUGUGGAAUUCCGGGUGUAGUGGUGAAAUGCGUAGAGAUCCGGAGGAACACCAGUGGCGAAGGCGACACGCUGGGCCGUACCUGACACUGAUGCGCGACAGCAUGGGGAGCAAGCAGG